ensembl:lncRNA
GGCAGCUGGGGCUUCUCCUCGGCUUCUCCGCAGAAGGAGGACCGGAGGGCGUGGGCUAUAGGGCCAGGUGCGCCAGGUGACUGGGGAGCGAGCGGGUGGCUGCUGCCUCAGGAACUGCAAGAUGUGAAAGUGGGAGGAGAUGUGAGUCCACGAGGAUUGUCAAUGCUCUAACUGCCCCGUCAGGAUGGGUUUUACCAGAUAAUCUGAAGCUCUCCUCUUCGUGGGCAAAUAUGACGGAAAGAAGUGAAAGGAUUGGGAAAUGGUUCCAGACCAUAUACAGUCGGCUUCUCGACCUUGUAGUAAAAAUUACAGAUUUCACUGGAGUUCGAUGAAGUUUAGAAAGACCAAAGAAACUGGACUACUCAAGGAUUUUAAGACCCAGGAAAUAGUGGGCAACCAAAAUGCUAUAUUGGAAACAUAAGUCUUACAUCAAAGCAAAUUCAAAUGUGUGUUAACCAGAGCCAGGCCAUCGUAUCGUUUUAUUCCUCCACCAAUUGCUUCAGGUCAAGGCACUGGUCCAAAGAGCUGGCUUGAUUCUGGGUAAUACUAAUCUGUCCUUGUUCUGAAAAUCCAGUACCGGUGGACUCUACCACGAGAGUGGGGUGACCUAGAAUUUAGAAGUUUGGUAACCCCUCCCCAAAUUUGUUGCGUUUCUGAUAUCGACCCUGAUAUCAGUUUCCCCACACUAAACCCAGCAUAUAUGGGGUUAAAACCAAAACACUCAUUCCCAGCUUACUCUCUGGCUUCCUAGCUCCAGAAUCCACUAUGCUCCAUGGAGACAGACACUGUCAAGGACAAGCACCUGGACCAUCUCCUCCCCACAAAGAGAUACAGCUGGUGGGAAAGCUGCUGACCAGCAAGGUCAUGAGCGCCCUCCUCUCUGCAAGUGUCUCAAGGCCAAAGACAGGCUGGUGGGAAAGCUCCGACCAGCAAGGCCCUAUGCUCCCCCUCCCCUACCGAAAACCCCAAAUAAAAACCCUUCCUUUUAGCUUUUUCGGGGAGUUUGGGAUUUCAGUGUUAGCUGCCCUCUCUCCUUGCUCAGCGCUGUGCAAAAAGAAAGUUCCUACUUUCUUCCACCACCCCUGGUGUCAGAGAUUGGCUUGCUGCGCGACGGGUGAGCGAAUUCACUUCAGGUUCGGUAACAAUUUGGCGACCCAGAUGGGACAAUGUCCCUUGGCACACCGGCCUCUGGUGAAAGGCCUCUCUUGGAAGCUGUCCUGCAGCUGCCUGAGCCCCUUGUCUCAGGGACAGCCCCAAGUGGCUGGCUGCUAGCCAGACGUCGUUGGCCCAUGGCGCUUUUGCUUUGGUAGUGGAAGAAACUAGGUUUAGGACAUAGGAAGACGUCUCUUGUAAGUAGCUGGUAGUUUUUGUUCUUGUCUUUGUGUUAACCUUUUCCAACAGGACCGGCCGGGAACAAUGGGUACCUUGGCAGCCCUCUGGGCUCCGUUUGUUUUGAAGUCGCCGCAACGCCCUGGCCAAAUUUUGGUAAGUCCCCCGGGUGUGCACAACCGAGGUCCCUUGUCCUUGUUCAUUUGGGAAGAUCUGCGUAGCGGAUCUUCAUUUGUUGGGCGCCCCCGAGUGUAGGACACGGACUAAGGUGGGGCUGGAAGCACUUUGGUUUUUGGUUUUGGUCUUUGUUUUGGCUUGCGUUUGUGGCCGAGGGUUUUUGGGAACGCGCGCUUGUUUGGUAUUUGUUGUUGCUGUCUGUUUGUCUGUCCUUUUAAAAGUGUUAACAUGGGAGAUGCUGCAUUUAUUACACCUAAGAGCCCCUUGGGAAAAACUUUGGCUGAUGGUCGACCUAUAGCUAUAAGCCAAUGUCUAAAGAGGGAUGAUUUUCUUUUGUAACACCACAUGGCCACAAUAUUCUUUAGACUCUGGAGAGAAAAAAAUGGCCAAAAGAUGGAUCCUCAAGUUGGGAAACUUUUUAGAGAGCUCUUAUGAUCAACAACAGUUUUGUUGGUACCUAUGAAAAGACCAAAUUAAGGGGAAACUAUAAUGACUAGUCUUAAGAACUUAAUCAAACUUGGGAUCUCAGCUUCUUGUAGUCUUACAGAUGCUAAUAAAAAUGUUAAGUUAACAAAGAGAGAUUAGAAAGGGAAGAGUCACAGGACUCAUCUCAAUGGGAUAAAUGGAACAGAUAUGAAUGAAGUUAAAACAAAGGUUUUAAUAAAACACUGCCUAAGGUUGGAUGGGCUAAAGGGACCCCCCUAGUGGCUCCCCAACAUUAAAGGACAUCAGACAAACCUGUUCUAUUUACUCCAGUUUGAAAAAUGUAAAAGGUCAGGAUGCAAAAAUCAGAGUGAGAAACCUGACCAACAAUUGUUUGGGGCAACAGUUAGGCUACUAAGAUUAAUAAGACUAUAAAAAUUAAAAUGUUUGAGCUAAUAUUAUAUGAAGAGGUUAUGUCAACUUUGCCUGGAUGUUUUCUUUGGGAAUAAAUGUUAUGUCUAACUGGGAAUGCUUCACCUGAACAAUAUUGUAAUACCCAAACUUGUUAAUAGAAUCCUAAUGUAAGUUAUAAUUAAAAAUAUAAGGGCUAGUAAAACUAAGAUAAAGUUUUGUAAAAAAUUGAUAUACUUAAACAGGCCAAUUGCAGUUCACCCAAACUAAUGUAUGCAAUUGGAAAAGCCAGCUGCAACAAUGGGGAGCCUGUUUUAGUCUUUUGAGGCUUCUAAAUAAAAUUAGAAAUACUUUACCGCCUCUUUAAGAGAAAAUAAUUAAAUAAUUAAACAUGCCAGCAACCGAACCCAAAUCUGCUUCUCAAAUCUGCUGCUGUUGUCUACUCUCUUUUUGCUGAGCUUCCCAACAAGCUGAGCUGAGCUUCAACUCCCCCAAAAUUCCUGAUCUAAAAUUGAAUGAGUAAAAAUAAGUAAACUUUUGAGACAAUUUGAAAUUGUAACGACCAUUCUGAAAGCCUGUUUAAGUUUGCUGGUUUCAUUUAAAAGGAACAUGUCCUCAAAGUUAUCAGCAUUGGCUAUGAUGCAGACAUACAGCCUGGGUUUACUGGUCAAAUGAACUCAUGUCAUGUAUGUUAGAAAACUUAUUAGGAAAACUCAUAACUCAGUAUAAUAGCUAAUUUUGUUUAAUGUCUCUUGGAGUUUUUGUAGAUGAUCUAAAUAUAAUUGUUAAGAACAGGUAAACUAAAUAAAUGUAAAAAAAUAAAAGUUUUUGGAAAAACUUUUUAACAAUAAUUAUAUGUAUAAUUAUAUGUAUAAUAAUUAUAUUAUGAUAUAUGUACUUAAAACAACUGAGGACAAUAGUUAACUGCUGUAAUGUCACAUGAAGUUUUUAAGAGUAAUUGUUAAAACUGGGUAAAAGUUUUAAGUACAAUAAUUAUGUUUUAUGGUCUGAAUACUUAAAAAACACCUUCCAAAAUCUUUUUGGAAGCUUAAAUUUUGUAACUUUACUAAGUUAAGUUAAAUAAUAACAGUUUAUUGGGUAUCUAGGUCAUUUCCACAUAAGAUAAAAUAUUAAAGGUUAACUACUAAGCAUAUAUUUCUCUGCCUUUGGUUUCUUAUAUCAAAGAAACUGAAAAGUGCUUAGGUUAUUGAUCAACAUGUUGUAUGUAUGUUGAGAAAUUUUCUAUGAGAAAACAUAUAUUUCUAAAAGGUCGGUAUACAAAGAAAGUAAAAUAUAUGUUUUCAGUAAAAAGAUAUAAAGAAUGGAAAUAUUUUUGUUUCUUGAGUUGAGAAAGAUAAAUUUGUCCUAAAGUGCUGGGACAAAUUCUGAAUGUAAAAAAGUAACCAAAGGUUUGUAAAAGUAAAGCCCUAAAGAGUUUUAUGUAUGGUCAAGUUGUCCAGGAUUAAAGUAAAUCCAAUUAAGUAAAUAAACUUAAGUAAAUCAUUUUAAAAAAAAUCAACUUAAGUAAAUAUGUCAAAAGUAAACUGGUACAAAAUUAAAACUUGGUUUCCUCUUUCUUAAAAGGAUAAUUUUCCUAAAUUUUUAAUCUGCUCUUUAUAAAAAGGUUAUAAAAAGGCUUUGUUUGACUAUUUUAACUCUGUUUCCCCUUGACUGUUUCUUUUAUCGCUUCAAAUAGAUACCUGAACAUGGUUUUACAAGUGAACUUUGUUUCCUAUCUGAACAAAUGUUUUAAAGUUUUUAAUAUUUUUGACAAGCUGCCCCCCCACACAAAUAUUCAAGUCUUAAAUAAAAGCUUUCUUUUGACCUGGAAGAGGAGGGAGAGUUUCUCCGGGUAUUUUCAGAGGGCCCCUGGGACUUCUCGGAGAAAUUUGCUCUCUUCCUAUAAGAAAAGAACGCUAAACUAGUAAGGCUUAUUUUGUAUGUUAAGUUACAUGAGAAUCAUUGUCAAAUAAAUAAUGAUAAACUUUCUUAAAUGGUAUUAUGUAAAUGAGUGUUAUUGAUAUAAAUACUUUAAAAAUUAUAUGAUCUGUUCUGAUUGUCAGUUAUAAUCCUGGUUAUUAUCUCAAAAUGUUAUAUAUCACAGACAUGGUCAAAUGCCUUUGUCAAUUACCAUUUUUGAAUGUUUUGUUAUUUAUGAACAGUGGCUAUUUUACUUUGAUGUUUUUGCAAAUAUAUUUCAUCUUCAGAGAAAUUCAUGGAAAGGGCUCUGACACUCUAGAAUACAGGUUUCCAGUAAAUGUUCAGAUUGUAAAACCAAACUGGGUAAAAAUUACAGAACUCCAACAGAGAAACUGAUGACCUCACAAACUGCUCACAGAAGAUUAAGAUCAAGAACCAAUUACAGAGGACAGAAUAAACUGAUAGGGAUGAUUAUAAUUUUUAUGACUUUCUGAUUGAGAUAUUGCUGAUUUUUUGAUGUUUUGCUUUUUUCAGAGUUAAAAUCUUUUUCUCUCUUCUCUUAAAGAACUAUGACUUACAACAAUUUAUAAACAAAAUUGAAGCCUUUGUUUUUUCCUCCUUAUCUGAGCCCCCCAAAACACAAAAACUUCUGAUAAAAAAACUUCUUAUUAAAUACCUGGUUACUUACUUACAUGAUACAGGCCCACCUUCAGGAGCCCGCCAGCAUCACUGCCUUAUUAAAAGACUGGUUCAAUGAGAGGAAACAACCUACGCCCCAUUUCAGCAGGAAGUAGCUAGAUUGGUCGCCGCCCCAAAUCCCUCAAGAUUGAGGGACGGACAUAAAAUAGGGGGGAGUUGAUAUCGACCCUGAUAUCAGUUUCCCCACACUAAACCCAGCAUAUAUGGGGUUAAAACCAAAACACUCAUUCCCUGCUUACUCUCUGGCUUCCUGGCUCCAGAAUCCACUAUGCUGCAUGGAGACAGACACCGUCAAGGACAAGCACCUGGACUAUCUCCUCCCCACAAAGAGAUACAGACUGGUGGGAAAGCUUCUGACCAGCAAGGUCAUGAGCUCCCUCCUCUCUGCAAGUGUCUCAAGGCCAAAGACAGGCUGGUGGGAAAGCUCCGACCAGCAAGGCCCUAUGCUCCCCCUCCCCUACCGAAAACCCCAAAUAAAAACCCUUCCUUUUAGCUUUUUCGGGGAGUUUGGGAUUUCAGUGUUAGCUGCCCUCUCUCCUUGCUCAGUGCUGUGCAAAAAAGAAAGUUCCUACUUUCUUCCACCACCCCUGGUGUCAGAGAUUGGCUUGCUGCAUGAUGGGUGAGUGAACUCACUUCAGGUUCGGUAACAUUUCUAAAUAUCAGACCAUCUACAAGGCUGAUUUGGUGGAUAAGGUGAAUCCACAUUUAUUCAACAAUUAGGGUGCUGUGUUAUAAAUGUUGUGUUUAAGCCAGGUAUGUAAGAACAAAUAAUUAUUUGGAACACGUUUUUUUAAUAGUGAAAGACAAAAAGAAGAAAGGAGGGGGCCCCCUUAAGAAUUGUAAAGAUUGAAAUGUUUUGAAUUACAGGACACUCUCAGGAUUAUUCAUAACAUAGUAAAGUAAUAAUUUUUAUUUUGA